UGUCCUUGACUUGGGUAGAGUGAUGUCUGGUUGGUGCUGCCUAUCUCAUAUAAGCCAGGGACAAAUCAAUGCCUUAUUUAUUCCAGCUUGGCUUUUGGUCUGUGCCCAUACCUGGUUUAUGCCUUGGACACAUG
rnacentral:snoRNA from 10 species